UGCCCAGCAACUCCUAUCCCUACCUCCACGCGGUACCGGGCGGAAACUAUGAGCAACCUUAGGGAAGA
rfam:Aedes albopictus isolate Foshan contig131484, whole genome shotgun sequence.